AUUGAACGCUGGCGGCAGGCUUAACACAUGCAAGUCGAGCGGGGUGAUGGUGCUUGCACUAUCACUUAGCGGCGGACGGGUGAGUAAUGCUUAGGAAUCUGCCUAUUAGUGGGGGACAACAUCUCGAAAGGGAUGCUAAUACCGCAUACGUCCUACGGGAGAAAGCAGGGGAUCACUUGUGACCUUGCGAUAAUAGAUGAGCCCAAGUCGGAUGAGCUAGUUGGUGGGGUAAAGGCCUACCAAGGCGACGAUCUGUAGCGGGUCUGAGAGGAUGAUCCGCCACACUGGGACUGAGACACGGCCCAGACUCCUACGGGAGGCAGCAGUGGGGAAUAUUGGACAAUGGGGGGAACCCUGAUCCAGCCAUGCCGCGUGUGUGAAGAAGGCCUUAUGGUUGUAAAGCACUUUAAGCGAGGAGGAGGCUCUUUUGGUUAAUACCCAAGAUGAGUGGACGUUACUCGCAGAAUAAGCACCGGCUAACUCUGUGCCAGCCGCCGCCGUAA
rnacentral:rRNA from 1 species